rnacentral:rRNA from 1 species
CCUACGGGGGGCAGCAGUGAGGAAUAUUGGUCAAUGGACGAGAGUCUGAACCAGCCAAGUAGCGUGAAGGAUGACUGCCCUAUGGGUUGUAAACUUCUUUUAUAUGGGAAUAAAACGUUCCACGUGUGGGAUUUUGUAUGUACCAUAUGAAUAAGGAUCGGCUAACUCCGUGCCAGCAGCCGCGGUAAUACGGAGGAUCCGAGCGUUAUCCGGAUUUAUUGGGUUUAAAGGGAGCGUAGGUGGAUUGUUAAGUCAGUUGUGAAAGUUUGCGGCUCAACCGUAAAAUUGCAGUUGAAACUGGCAGUCUUGAGUACAGUAGAGGUGGGCGGAAUUCGUGGUGUAGCGGUGAAAUGCUUAGAUAUAACGAAGAACUCCGAUUGCGAAGGCAGUUCACUGGACUGCAACUGACACUGAGGCUCGAAAGUGUGGGUAUCAAACAGGAUUAGAUACCCCAGUAGUC